rnacentral:lncRNA from 1 species
CAACAAGACUCAGUAGAGUGAGCCACUCAGGCAUUGGAGCAGUAUGACAUAAAAAAGAAUAUUCCAGUCUAUAUCAAGAAAAAAUUUGACAUGAAAUACAGCCUCACCUGGCACUGCAUGGUAAGGCAGAACUUUGGUCAUUAUAUGGCACAUGAAACCAAACACGUCAUUUCCUUCUACCUGGUGGCCACACUUCUGUUCAAAUCUGGUUAA